GAUGAACGCUGGCGGCGUGCCUAAUACAUGCAAGUCGAGCGAACAGACGAGGAGCUUGCUCCUUUGACGUUAGCGGCGGACGGGUGAGUAACACGUGGAUAACCUACCUAUAAGACUGGGAUAACUUCGGGAAACCGGAGCUAAUACCGGAUAAUAUAUUGAACCGCAUGGUUCAAUAGUGAAAGACGGCUUUGCUGUCACUUAUAGAUGGAUCCGCGCCGCAUUAGCUAGUUGGUAAGGUAACGGCUUACCAAGGCAACGAUGCGUAGCCGACCUGAGAGGGUGAUCGGCCACACUGGAACUGAGACACGGUCCAGACUCCUACGGGAGGCAGCAGUAGGGAAUCUUCCGCAAUGGGCGAAAGCCUGACGGAGCAACGCCGCGUGAGUGAUGAAGGUCUUCGGAUCGUAAAACUCUGUUAUGAGGGAAGAACAAAUGUGUAAGUAACUAUGCACGUCUUGACGGUACCUGAUCAGAAAGCCACGGCUAACUACGUG
rnacentral:rRNA from 1 species